AAGCUAAAUACCGGCCAGAGACCGAUAGCGCACAAGUAGAGUGAUCGAAAGAUGAAAAGCACCUUGAAAAGGGAGUCAAACAGCACGUGAAAUUGUUGAAAGCGAAGCGCUUGCCGCCAGACCUGCCCGCGGGCGCUCACCCGCCAUUCGUGGCGGGGCACUCGCCCGCGAUCGGGCCAGCACGGGUUCGGGCGGCGGGACAAAGGGCCCGGGAACGUAGCUCCCUUCGGGGUGCCUUAUAGCCCGGGCCGCCAUGCCGCCCGCCCGGACCGAGGACCGCGCUUCGGCCAGGGUGCUGGCGUAAUGGCGGCAAGCGACCCGUCUUGAAACACGGACCAAGGAGUCUAACAUCUACGCGAGUGUUUGGGCGUCAAACCCCGGCGCGGAAUGAAAGUGAACGGAGGUGGGACCCCCGCGAGGGGCGCACCAUCGACCGAUCCCGAUGUCUUCGGACGGAUUUGAGUACGAGCGUAGCUGUUGGGACCACGAAAGAUGGUGAACUAUGCCUGGAUAGGGUGAAGCCAGAGGAAACUCUGGUGGAGGCUCGCAGCGGUUCUGACGUGCAAAUCGAUCGUCAAAUUUGGGCAUAGGGGCGAAAGACUAAUCGAACCAUCUAGUAGCUGGUUCCUGCCGAAGUUUCCCUCAGGAUAGCAGUAACGUUUUCAGUUUUAUGAGGUAAAGCGAACGAUUAGAGGCCUUGGGGUUGAAACAACCUUAACCUAUUCUCGAACUUUAAAUAUGUAAGAAGUCCUUGUUUCUUCGUUGAACGUGGACAUGCGAAUGCACCGUUACUAGUGGGCCAUUUUUGGUAAGCAGAACUGGCGAUGCGGGAUGAACCGAACGCGGGGUUAAGGUGCCGGAAUGUACGCUCAUCAGACACCACAAAAGAUGUCAAUUCAUCUGGACAGCCGGACGGUGGCCAUGGAAGCCGGAACCCGCUAAGGAGUGCGUAACAGCUCACCGGCCGAAUGAAUUGGCUCUGAAAAUGGAUGGCUCAAGCGUGCUACCCAUACCCCGCGGGUAGAACCACCCUGGCGAGU
rnacentral:rRNA from 1 species